UAUAGUAUAAAUAUAAAUGUUCAAAAUUUAAACAUCAGUCGUCUGCAGUAAUCAAAAGCGCAUAUCACUAAAAUGAAUUUGUGAUAUAGACGACUCAGUUUUAUUAUAAUGAAGAACAUAUUUGGAAUUCAAUAGACAAUAGAUGUUAGAAGAAAUUAAGCCGAAGUACCCUUGAGUACUGGCCUUUGAUCAAUGAGCGAAUUACAAAUACAAACCACCAGCACCCAAUAGAUGUUAGACUUGCGGAUUCUGCCCGAGGUUGGUCUACGGGUGCGCUGGAUCGUUUUUGAAACUGGUGGAUUACCACGACAACACGAUUCUACGUUGUGAAGGCUGUCUCCCUAAUUCACUUUUCUAGGAACAAAAAAGAGGGAAUGUUCCGUGACUUGAUUCAGCACCGUAGAUCAUAGGAUUUAAGUCAUCCGAGCAUCGCAUUUAAGGGCCGCGUAGAAAUAAAUGCAAAACUUAUCGUUCCUGCAUGAACUUUCUUUUUUUUUGUUUAGUAGGGUUUCAGUCGCCACAGCCCGAAGAGCAUCAUCUGUGGGGGGAUCGGAAGGUUUAACACCAACACAAACGAUGUUGCCGCAUUUGACAGGAAACACUAUAUUCUUGGACUUUCAUUUUAUAUUCUCAUGUUCUACAGAAGAAUUCGCUAUUCAAAAUUUGUCAAAACAGUAUUUAACAACAUUUAUCUUUAAUAAUUAGUAAUGAUUUUAGUGUAGGUUCUAUGUUACUUGUAACAUAUUAUAAAAAAGAAAAAUUAUUCAAAAUCUUUUUAUAAAAAAAACCGUCAGUUCUUGAGAAUAUAAAAUGAAGGACAUCGCGUCCUAAAAUAAGGCUUGUUAUAAUUAAUUAAGCGUCCAUGAUAUAUGACUUUAAUAUAUCAUAGUUUUAGUAUUAAAUUAAUGUGUAAUAAUUGAGAUAUUAAAUAGUUUUAAAUAAAUUUUUAACGAGAAUAUAAUGCGCCUAAUUUUGGGGAUAUCGAAUUUUGAAGCAAGAGAUGCAUCUAUCAGAAUAUCGGUAACUUGUCUCUGACAAAAUGACGCUCGAAAAAUAUUAAAUCUCAAGUAGGUGAUAACAUUAAAGCCCUACCGACGAGUCGUAAACGACGAAACAGAAUACGCUAUAUUAUGUAUUUUUGUAUAGGGAUGAAAAAUUUAAUAUUUUCUUAUCAAAAACUAAAAAAAACAUUCAAGAGAUCAAAGGCAUAAUUAGUUUUAAGUAGAAACAGCGUUUUUUUGCAGAUGCAUCGCUUGAAAGAUAGUAUGUAAUGUUGCUAGAUUGUAGGUAGGGUCAAAAGAAUAUUUAUAUUUCCUGUUAACCGCACAACCAAUAAAUCACUGUUCUACAUUGUAAUAAAACUGUGUAAAAAUA